rnacentral:rRNA from 1 species
UUGAACGCUGGCGGCAUGCCUUACACAUGCAAGUCGAACGGUAACGGGCCUUCGGGUGCCGACGAGUGGCGAACGGGUGAGUAAUACAUCGGAACGUGCCCGAUCGUGGGGGAUAACGAGGCGAAAGCUUUGCUAAUACCGCAUACGAUCUACGGAUGAAAGCAGGGGACCGCAAGGCCUUGCGCGGACGGAGCGGCCGAUGGCAGAUUGGGUAGUUGGUGGGGUAAAAGCUUACCAAGCCGACGAUCUUUAGCUGGUCUGAGAGGAUGAUCAGCCACACUGGGACUGAGACACGGCCCAGACUCCUACGGGAGGCAGCAGUGGGGAAUUUUGGACAAUGGGCGCAAGCCUGAUCCAGCCAUGCCGCGUGCAGGAUGAAGGCCUUCGGGUUGUAAACUGCUUUUGUACGGAACGAAAAGCCUUCUUUUAAUACAGGAGGGUCAUGACGGUACCGUAAGAAUAAGCACCGGCUAACUACGUG